AAACCUUUGAAUACGUACAAUCCAGAAAGUCAGUUUAUACAAGACCUUCGAGAGAAAGAAGUCAAGCUGCUCAACGGAUUAAUGGAUUAACAAAAGAACGCGAACAGUUGAUUAAAAUUGGGAAAUAAGCUGACAGCUGAAUUGUUGAAAUAUAAAGUAACACGAAUUGAAGGACAUUGAAUAAGAGACACACUCUGUUGUGACUUUUAAAUACAAGGAAAUAAAAUGGUGUCUUAUACUUACAAUGUCUGGUUCGUCAACAAAAACUAGCUGGUUCGGAUGCAAGCAAUCUAUGACAAUAUAUUCCUCGUGUUGGGAUAAUAUUACACUGCACGUUGGACUACCGAAACGGCAAGGCUUCACAUUAUCCCUGUUUAAAAACGUCUGAAACGUUUUCAUAACGUCUGAAACGUUUUCACUCUCCAUACUUUCCAAAUUUAAUUUGGCGCGAAAAAUUAGAUAACAUACAUGGCUGCUGCUCCCGGAUUCACUGAUAGUUCUGGUGUUACGAAGAACUUCACUGCUCCCGGAUUGACUGAUAGUUCUGGUGUUACGAAGAACUUCACUUACAAGUUGGUUAUAAAUUGCACACCUCAGGUAUCAAAGCAGAAAUUGUUGACUUCCCAACACGAAACUGAUACUAAAGAAAAUUUAAAAACACAUAUCUUUUAACUUGGCUUGGCUUAUACCUCAAAUGUAUUUGUGUCCAUCCUCAAAUACCCUCGGUAGCUUUCUUCGUCUUCGAGCCUCAUUUCUUGGACGAGGGCGUGAUAAGCGCCUCUUUCGUUUCUUCUGGCAAUCCAACUCUUUUGCCACAUAUUACGUUUCCUGUCUUUGCGUGCCUUUCUUCUUUUCACCACAACGUAACGGCAACCAACAUAGCAGCAGCAGCAAGUUUCUUAGCUUCCUCGUCAGCCAUUUAAACCCAUUGAUUUAAACCUCAUUUUGGGAAUUUGUUUAUGGUUGAAACACCUAUACGUUUCUUUACGCUGGCCACCUACCUCCCCCCUAAGCCCGUCAAAAAAAAUAUCGGGUUGUCUGAACAGUCCACCAAAAAUCGGGCCGUACGUAGUUUUGGUUUACAUACAACUUUCAAUUAAUACAAAGAAAUUUACCAUACAAAUUAGUGAAAUUACAAUA